CAAUCAAGGCAUCGUUCUGAGACCUGCACUGGAAUACCGCGUCGAGUCCUUGCUCAUCCCCACGAAUGCUUUGGGUUUCGCUGUGAUGUGUGUGCAGCUGUAUAUGGGCCUGUUGGGGCUGAUACAGCAGUCAUUCUUUCCAAGAAAUCUUUGAUCUGCUGAAAGGUGACUACAAAGCUGAUAGCCAAGCCUCUUUUUUGCAAGGAAAGCCUGUCAUGCAAGGGAAGGUCAGACGGAUGAGAUUCCGGUUGGUCCCUCGAGCUAAGCUGUUCCGCACGGCGAGUGUAUGGGAACGAGGCUGCUUUGAGCUAACUUUGCCAACGCUCUGCUGGUGAGCACGUUUCUGCACUGUUGAGCUGACAGCUGAAAUCUGUCCUCCUCCUGCGUGUGAUGUCAGCUGUGGGCCAGCCUGGCAGUUAUGAAGAGAAGAAGGGGGGACAGCUAGGGGGAAAAGGAAGCAUGUUACGAUUGUGACCAGACCGGCUGAAACUGUGUGUCAUGUGUCACAAACCCCACGGCCUGGCAGAUCUCCGUGGAGGGAGCUUUGCCUACUCUCAUGACAUAUCUAAAGGCUCACGGGAGGCCAGCGCGCACCUGUAAGUCUCCUGGCUGACGUGCGACCAGGCAGCCGAGAGAGAGAGAGAGAGAGAGAGAGAGAGAGAGAGAGAGAGAGAGAAAUGGGCAAGAGCUGAGACUCCAGCAGCAGCAGGAAAUGGGCUGCGUUGCAGACAGCCGGCGCCACCAAGAGUUAUUUCUAAAAUCUGGGUUCGAUUACGAUGUGCAGUCAGGUGUGGAAGGUGAAAAGAAGGAGCAGGAAGGAAAAGAUAAGACACGAAGAGAAGGAGCCAUGUGGAAAAACCUGGAGUGCAGAAGUGUUCGUCUGAAAGGCUACGAUGACCGUGAUGAGUAAAUUAUUUUAUUCCUUCCAUUAUACAAUAAAAUACUAUCCAG
rnacentral:lncRNA from 1 species